UUUGAAGGAUCUGCCGGUAUCCCUCCGCUGUGACAGUGACAUAAGCUAAUCAUUGUGAGCCUUGGGGCCAUCCUAUGCACAGAUCUGAAGAUGGUGAUGGGGUGUAUGGCAGAAACUUUUCCAGGACCUGUCCACCUCAAUGUUCAGAAUGUCUGCCUAGGGGUUCAAUUCAUGGGGCCUGCCAUUCAUUUGGGGUAAAAUCUAUGCUGUCUGAAACAUUCUGUGUUUCAUGGAACUAGGGUUGUUUCCUUGUAGAACUAUUUUAAUUGCCGCUGCCCGGGACUGGAGAAAUGGCUCAGUGGUCAAGGGUUUCUGUUGUUCUUGCAGAGGACCUAAAUUCAGUUCCCAGCACUCCCAUGGCAGAUUUAACCAUCUGGACCUAUGGUUCCAGUGGGUCUAGGGUCCCUUACGGCCUCCACAGCAGCAGGCGGGCACUCAGUGCACUCAGACACAUUCAGGCAAAACACUCAUGCAUGUAUAAGAAAAAUAAAGAUAUCUUAGAAAAGGAGUAUGGGAGUUGGGGAUUUAGCUCAGUGGUAGAGCGCUUGCCUAGGAAGCGCAAGGCCCUGGGUUCGGUCCCCAGCUCCGAAAAAAAGAACC
rnacentral:lncRNA from 1 species